rnacentral:lncRNA from 10 species
GGCUUGUAUUUUCAUUCCCUUAACAAUGUCUUUUAAGAGUAAACGUUUUCAUUUCGAUGAAAUCCAUGUUAAUCUGUAGGUUCUCCCUUUCUCUUUUAUAAUUCCUAAAAAUGUAUUUGUUGAUGCAACCAAGCCGUGGGCCACACACUGCAAUUAGUUGAUGUAUCUCUUAAGUCUCCUUAACCCUUCUUCUUCCAUCUUUCUCACUCUCUCUCUUUUUUAAUCCCUUGAAAUUUAUUCAUUGAAGAAACCAGGUCAUUUGUCUAAUAGAAUUUCUCUUAGUCUGAAGUUUACUGAUUCCCACCACUCCCGUAUUUCCUGCAAACUGAUAGUUAGAUCCAGAGGCUUGAUGAGAAUGAAGAUCAAUUUUGUAGUAAGAAUACUGCAUAGGUAUACUUCAGCCAGGAAGCACAUAUGUCUGAUGACUUUUGGGAACAUUAGCAGCCAUUAAAGAUUAUGGCUAUUUAUAUAUUUUUGUCAAGCAACAACAGCUGUAAUCAAAUUCUGUUUCUUCUUGAGAAUUUUAUUCAUCUCUUACUAUAAUUUGACAAAAAAGUGCUAUAACAUCUUAUAGUGUAAGAAAUACUCUUCAUAUAGUAUUUUGAUUGGCCCUACCAACAACUUAUUUAAUAGACUUUACUCUUAUCUCAGUUUUUCCCAUGAAGUUACUGCAGUUCUGAGACAAUAAAUAACUUUUCUGAAAUCACAUGCAGCCAGAAGAAAGGGA